AUCGCUUCUCAGCCUUUUGGCUAAGAUCAAGUGUAGUAUCUGUUCUUAUGAGAAAACAAAAUCAUCUUCUCCAAGUUUCUUUAUGUCUUUGGUUUCAAAAUCCUCACCCUAU
ensembl:snRNA U2 U2 spliceosomal RNA